rnacentral:lncRNA from 1 species
AAGUAGACAAGUAUCACGAAAUUGGUUUAGUUGAUAUAAACACCAAUGUACAUUAUUUCAUUGUUUUCUAAAUGUUAUGUUAUAAAUUGUGAAUUGAUAGUGGAUUGGAUUGAAGCCAGGCCUUACACUGCACAGACUAAAACACAUUUGUGAGAGAAGUCAGGAACUUUGGAGAAAGAUUCUAGAGGAAGAAAACACAUUUACUGCAACAAUAGAUGAAUUCUAGAGUCUCUGAGAACUACACAUGCUAAUGCAGUCUCAUGAGCAAGACCUUUGCCUCUGUAACUUUUUCUUAAUUCUUUAAUUUUUAUUGCAGUAUUUUAAUUUGUACAGAUGAUCUCAUCAGCCAAAUGAGGGGUUUUGACCAAGUGAUGCUCUUGAAAGGAGUGAAAGAAGAGGAUGUGCUAAAUUCUCUUCAGAGAAAAAGCUUCUCAAAAGGUCUCAAAACAGCUUGAAGAAUGGUCUGGGAUCUUAGGACUGAGAGAUCCUCUGGCUGAGGACAAGCUACACCACAUCAGUGCUGGAUAUCAGCCACAAACUGUUUCCAGACACGAGAGAAGAAGAACACGAUGGGGAGAUGAAACCAGUUUAGAUGUGAUGAUGGGAAUCAUUAUUUUCUGGAACAGUAUCUCAUGUCUUAUAUGUAUCACAUGAUCUGCAUCACAGUUGACUGGAUGGGACUGUGUGACUUUUAAGGACAUUUCAUCACUCAUCUGUGUGAACUGAUUUAUAUAUGAGGUUAAUGUAUUUUUGAUGAUAAUUAUUUUCAUUGAAUCUUAUUCGUCUUGAUGCUACUUUAUCAACUUUAUAGUCUAUGCUUCAAUAAAAUGAAAAUGGUGAAUAUUGUGUUCUGAAGAUUCUUGGUAAAUACAUAAUUUUACUAGGUAGGCUGAUAUGUGUUUAUUUUAGACUUGGAAAAACUACAUAUUAAUUAUUGGGAUUAUUUUUUUAUUUAAGACAUAAACAUUUUUGAUCGGAUUAAUAACAUCUGGGACAUCAGUACACCAGAAAGUAAUUUUUUUUUAUUUUAGUAACAAAUAUGCAAAUUUUUUAGUGAAAUAAAGGGAGUUACGAGAUUAACUAUUCUGCAUUACAAGAUGGUGCCAUGGGCUUUAUUGUUACAAACACUUGAGGGAUAACUGAGAAUGUAGCAGGAAUGAUCAAUGGGAUCUUGUACUGCAUUAAAACCAAGAGCACACACAUGAUGUCCAGCACCUGAGGAGCAAGAUACGGGGGUGAGGAGGACAUUUUUACACUGAUUUUUGCUAAAUAGUUAUAUAUAUAUAUAUAUAUAUAUAUAUAUAUAUAUAUAUAUAUAUAUAUAUAUAUAAAUUAAUAUUCUUAGCACUGCAUGAAUUUGUCCUUGUGUAAUAGUGAAGUAUCACAAUGUGUAUACAUUGUCCUUGAUUACUGCUUUACAGGUGGGGAAUAGAUAAAGGCAAGUUGUUGCAGGUUCAUCCAUUAUAUUUCUUGCCAUAUACUUCAAAAAUCAAAUAAAUAAUCUAUUAGUUUCAUUAUUAAAUCAUUUCUUUCUAAUUUUUCAAUGUUUCAUCAGAUGGCCUCACAAUGUCCUGUCAAAAGGUAUAAUAGUCAUGAUGAAUAGAAUAGAAAACAGAGGACUGUGAAAACUGUCAGAUAUAAAUGUGACUC